rnacentral:rRNA from 1 species
CAAUGGCGUAUAUUAAAGUUGUUGCAGUUAAAAAGCUCGUAGUUGGAUUUCUGGUGGGAGCGAUCGGUCUGGCGCUUAGCGCGAGUACUUGCAUCGUCUCCGGCCAUCCUUGGGGAGAGUCUGUCUGGCAUUAGGUUGUCGGGCAGAGGAUCCUCAUCGUUUACUGUGAAAAAAUUAGAGUGUUCAAAGCAGGCUUAUGCCGUUGAAUAUAUUAGCAUGGAAUAAUAAGAUAGGACUUUGGUACUAUUUUGUUGGUUUGCGCACCAAAGUAAUGAUUAAUAGGGACAGUUGGGGGUAUUCGUAUUCCGUUGUCAGAGGUGAAAUUCUUGGGUUUACGGAAGACGAACUACUGCGAAAGCAUUUACCAAGGAUGUUUUCAUUAA